rnacentral:rRNA from 1 species
UACGUAGGGGGCAAGCGUUAUCCGGAUUUACUGGGUGUAAAGGGGGCGCAGACGGCGAUGCAAGCCAGGAGUGAAAGCCCGGGGCCCAACCCCGGGACUGCUCUGGGAACUGUGCGGCUGGAGUGCGGGAGGGGCAGGCGGAAUUCCUGGUGUAGCGGUGAAAUGCGUAGAUAUCAGGAGGAACACCGGCGGCGAAGGCGGCCUGCUGGACCGCGACUGACGUUGAGGCUCGAAAGCGUGGGGAGCAAACAGG